rnacentral:rRNA from 1 species
GACGAACGCUGGCGGCGUGCUUAACACAUGCAAGUCGAACGAGGUCCAUGAAGUAGCAAUACUUCGGAAGACCUAGUGGCGAACGGGUGCGUAACACGUGAGGAACUUGUCCCGGUCUCUGGGAUAACAGUUGGAAACGACUGCUAAUACCGGAUGACGUCGGAGCGUCGCAUGGCGCGCUGACGAAAGGGUUACCGGAUCGGGAGAGCCUCGCGGCCUAUCAGCUUGUUGGCGGGGUAAUGGCCCACCAAGGCAUCGACGGGUAGCUGGUCUGAGAGGAUGAUCAGCCACACUGGGACUGAGACACGGCCCAGACUCCUACGGGAGGCAGCAGUGGGGAAUCUUGCGCAAUGGGCGAAAGCCUGACGCAGCAACGCCGCGUGCGGGAAGAAGGCUCUCGAGUUGUAAACCGCUUUCAGCAGGAACGAAAAUGACGGUACUUGCAGAAGAAGGUGCGGCCAACUACGUGCCAGCCGCCGCUGUAACAC